rnacentral:rRNA from 1 species
GAUGAACGCUGGCGGCGUGCCUAAUACAUGCAAGUAGAACGCUGAAGGAGGAGCUUGCUCUUCUGGAUGAGUUGCGAACGGGUGAGUAACGCGUAGGUAACCUGCCUGGUAGCGGGGGAUAACUAUUGGAAACGAUAGCUAAUACCGCAUGACAACAGUUAUUGCAUGAUAACUGUUUAAAAGGGGCAACUGCUCCACUACCAGAUGGACCUGCGUUGUAUUAGCUAGUUGGUGAGGUAACGGCUCACCAAGGCGACGAUACAUAGCCGACCUGAGAGGUUGGUCGGCCGCACUGGGACUGAGACACGGCCCAGACUCCUACGGGAGGCAGCAGUAGGGAAUCUUCGGCAAUGGACGGAAGUCUGACCGAGCAACGCCGCGUGAGUGAAGAAGGUUUUCGGAUCGUAAAGCUCUGUUGUAAGAGAAGAACGAGUGUGAGAGUGGAAAGUUCACACUGUGACGGUAUCUUACCAGAAAGGGACGGCUAACUACGUG